rnacentral:rRNA from 1 species
UACGGAGGGGGCUAGCGUUGUCCGGAAUUAUUGGGCGUAAAGCGCGCGCAGGUGGUUUCUUAAGUCUGAUGUGAAAGCCCACGGCUCAACCGUGGAGGGUCAUUGGAAACUGGGGAACUUGAGUGCAGAAGAGGAAAGUGGAAUUCCAAGUGUAGCGGUGAAAUGCGUAGAGAUUUGGAGGAACACCAGUGGCGAAGGCGACUUUCUGGUCUGUAACUGACACUGAGGCGCGAAAGCGUGGGGAGCGAACAGG